CAAUAGCAUAUAUUAACGUUGUUGCAGUUGAAAAGCUCGUAGUUGAACUUUUGGUAGGAGCGACCUGGCCUUGGGCGCAUGCCCUUGUUUGCCGUGUGUCGUAUCUGGCCAUCCUUUUCUUCUUUUUGGAAGGAAUCCUUUACUGUGAGUAAACUGGAGUGCUCAAAACAAGACGUUUGUUUGGUACAUUAAAGCAUGGAAUAAUAAGAUAGGACCUGGUUACUAUUUUGUUGGUUUGCAUAGCUAGGUAAUGAUUAACAGGGACAGUUGGGGGUAUUCGUAUUUAAUUGUCAGAGGUGAAAUUCUUGGAUUUAUGAAAGACGAACGACUGCGAAAGCAUUUACCAAGGAUGUUUNCAUUA
rnacentral:rRNA from 1 species